GACAGUGUUAUGAGUGCUGCAGUCAGUUAACCUGACCAGCUGCGCAAAUACAGCCGGUACUGCUUCAAUGUACAGGAAUCCUAAACAAGUCUUCUCUGGGGGAAUUGGGACACAGCCAGGCAGUUUGCAGAGAUGAGAAUUUUAACUAAGCCAGCAGGUUUCCAGGUGAGUGCCUUUUCUUUGUGUGUCUGCUUGACAUUUCCUUCGGAGGUUUAGCGAGCUAACAUUAACUUUCCCAUUGUAUUCAAAUAAAGUACACCCCGAUGAAAAAUGAACUGAUUUAUGAACUGACCACUUUUAAAUCGAGUACUCCGUCCUUUGCUUCUUGCAGCAGUGACACAAACUUGAUUGUGAGUAGACCCAAACUUUUCUCAUGGCGACUAGACCCGUUCGGUGUUGAAUUUGAGAGGCUAGAGUUGUUUGACUCAGCCAUAGUUCCACCUUCAGUCUACAACAGUUCUUAAAUAUUCCGACAGCCUUGGUUAAAUAAGGCAAAUGCUAGCCUGGCAGCAACUACAAUAAUUUCAGCAGCACAGACAGUAUCUCCUCAUUCACUUUAUUUACCUCGAGGCAACUCAAGCCCUCGCAGCUCGAGGGCUUUUAAAUGAAAGGAAAUGACGUUCGGUUACCGUUGCCAAGACAACCGGUAUAUUCAACAACCUCCAGUCCAGUACACACGCCCUAAGUAACAGGCCAUGGACAAAACAAUGUAGUUCGAUUUUUCAGAUAGCUCUGCUACUCAUAAGAACAUUGUAGUGAAGGGCCACACAGAACACCUUGGUCAAACCUGCUGUUUUAUUGAGAAAAUAUCAUCUUUAUCAUUUGGCAAACGUAACGACAGACGGAGCCACAGUGAACCUAGGAAAUACAUUCUGAUUUUUAUAUCUGCAUCCAGGACAAUUACACGUUUAGAUUUGAAUUACAGCAUUUAUUCGGUUGUGCAGGUUAAAGUCAUAAAUUAAAACUGGUGAACAAAACAACAUUCAUACAGAGGGUUCAAAGACUGUUAAACCCAUGGACCAGGUCACAAGUUGCAUCACUUGCUACAAUUUAAAAAUAAAUAGGUUACUUUAAAAAAACAACAACAACAACAAAAAACACAACACCACUUAAAAAUAUGAUAUAAACACAUAAGGUGGACAUUAUCUUGCAUUAUCUGUGAUGGUGAGACACGCCUCACAGUACAGGACGGGGUCGAAAGACUUUUUGGAACAGAGGUUGACGUAUAUGAAGACUACAUCUGAGCCUUCAGAGAGCUGACUUCACAUUUAUGUCACGUUUGAAUCAACCAGCCAUCCUGAAGGCACAACUAAGAGAAUUGGCAAUGAAAGGGUAAUGCCUUUUCUGAGGUCAGAAUUCUCUCAGCACGUUGGUGAGACGUCUCAUUUUCUCCUCCAUUGUCCUUUUGUUGUUCUCCAUUUCGAGAAGAAGCUGCCUCAUCUCAUCCUCCACCUCCAACACCUGAAUCAGUCAAAAGAGCUCAGUUAGACCAGUUUGCAUAGUUCACAUUGUUGGUAAUUUUUCCACUUAUGAACCUCAUGCAGAAGUAAAAGGACAUGCAACAUUGAUAUGGGGGGGGGGGGGACUUCUCUUUUGAAUCAUUUAGGUGUGGGGGAUUGGUUCUUGAAUUAAACCUAACCCCACAGAGCCAGUCAGUAACCCCUUCAUUUAAACUCAAUUACUUUAGAUUCAUGCAGUAUGAAAGGAAAUAAUGAGUAGCGAUGAAUCCAUCACACCCAGUAAUAGCCUGUGUGGCACUUUACCCUAACUGUUAAGCCUAUUCUCAGAUAUGUGAACACAAAUGGGAUACUGGGGAGGGGGCAAGGAGGCCAGGUGGAUAUUGAGCAAUGUAGCAGAGCAACAUGAAUGUUCUUCUUCUUGUACCCUUUGAUUGGCCAACUCGAUCUGUCUCUCUUUUUCACUGGCAAGGCUGAGCAGCUCGGCCUGAUGGGAAACCUGCAAAGACUCCAGCUGCUUGCGGAAGGCAUCGUCAACAGCAUGAAGCUUUUCCACAGCUGCUCUGAAAGAAUAAUAAAGAAAUAAUUAAUCACACUGAAAAUAUGCAAUAGACAUUACCAAAAUAUUUUUUUUUUUCCCCCCUCUACGGGCUAUAUACUACAACAGGCUUUCUAAAAUCUAGUCCUGCAAGGUUGAAGCCCUGCUGAUUUCUGUCUCAACCUCCUAAUAAGAAACUAUGAUUCAUCUGGCAAACAGAUGUGCACUCCUCAGCCAAUCAGAGACUACGGUGUUUGGUCGAUAAGGAGACCAGCAGGACUCCAGAUCUCCGUGAUGAGAUUUGAGAAACCGUGACAUGAUGUAUUUGCCUAGUCCUUGAAAUUGUCAGUCUUGUAUAGUCAGACACCUGGUGGACUCUGUGACUUUGAGAAUGCUAAACCGGCAUAUUUUAAGGGACGGAGGUAUAGAUGAACAUGACUCUACUGAAUCACUAAAAGCAAACAAGGCAUUCAAAACUAUUUGAACAAAUGUAACAGACUUAAGAACAGGGUGGACUUGAAAAUACUUACUUGUGGGCCUUUGAGGCCUUGUCCCUCUCCUCCACAAGUGCCUUCUCUCUGGUGUCAAAGCCUUCUUUCAUGCGUUUUACCUGACUCUCCAGCUUUGUCAGUAGGUCCGCUUUGUCCUGCCACUUCUUAUUGGAGGCUCUGCCAAGGUUAAAAUUGAACAUAGUUUCUGCCUGUUAGCCAGACUAUGGUCUCAAAGAUCGUUAAAAGAUAAAGAAAUCACAAACAACAAAGGGUAUUUUAAAACAUGUAAGAUUAUCUUUUUGAUAAAAAGUGAAGUGCAUUCAAGAGUGAGGGACAAAUUGGUACUUUGGUACAUAAGCUGUAUUUGUGAACUGCAUGGUACAUCUUUUGCACCUGUAGGCUUCUUUGAUUUCAUCUAAUUCGGUCUCCUUGUCCUGAAGUUGUUCUUUGAGCUCCUCUUUCCUCAGAGUGAGCUGCUCGACUCGAUCUCUGAGCUCCAACAGAGGAGCAGUCUCCUCCUCCAGCUGCUGCUGAAACUGGCGCUGGGCUUGCAGGUUCUCCUCACGCAGUUUCCGGAUCUGCUCAUCCCUCUCUUGCAACGCCUGAUGGACAAAGAGGGAUACACAGGAACAUAAAGGAAAAGGAACACAAACAUAAAGCACCAAACUUAAAAAAAAAAAAAAAAGAUUAACUGAUAACAUUGUUAGUUUUGACUGGCAGUUAGAAUGACCUCCUUUAGCUUGCGAAUGGUCUCUGUCUGAUCGUCAACGAUCUUGGCUUUAAUCCUCAGUGCAUCGUUGUCUCUCUCAUUCUGUUUUUUCUGUGUCUCCAGUUCGGUGGACAAGACCUCAAUCCGUGCCUCCAGGCGACCCCUGUCCUGUGCAAGAGACGCCCCUGCGUAUACACGCUUCCUGGCCCCAGAUUUUCCUCUCAGCUCUCAGGCCGUCUACGACGGACUCCUGGGCAGUGAGCUGGGAGAGAAGCCUGGACUUGUCUUUUCUCAGCAGCUCCACCUGCAGGCCGAGAUGCUUAUUCUCCUCUGCUCCAGCUUCCAGCGACUGUAUACGCGCCUGACAGACACAAACGUCACAGAGAGAUUCAGGAAGAUGAAGAAUUUGAAGGUGCUCACAAGUCAAAACCUGAACAGGACAGAAGCAAAGACAAAAAAACAGUAUGACUAAUGGCAGCUUUCCCCUUGCCUUCAGCUCAGACACAGACUCUCGUUUGGCUUUGAUGAGCUCGGUGAUGCGAAUCUUCUGCUCCUUCACCAUGGUGGUGAGUUCCUGGACCAGAGAACCAGACUGUCUCUCUCUCUGCUGAGACUGUGUCAGAAGUACCUUGACCUGUUAAUACAGCCGUGCCUCAGAGAGACGGGAAGCCUCGAUGGUGAGGGCCAUGCGGAACUCAUCCUCUAGAUCAGCGUACUGCUUCUGAGAGUCGGCAAUCUUCUGCUCCAUCACAGCCAGUCUCUCAGCAUGUUUCUGCUCCACUACCUCCACCUCUCUCGCCACUGCCUCUCUAAACUCUGGGCCACCAGGAACCAGCCUCAACUCUAACUCUUUCCUUUACAAAGUGAAACAACAGGGCAAAAAGCAGUGUUAAGACAAAAAUCUUGAUUGACCCCUGUUACAAACAUAAAGGCUUCUAUUUCUUCUUUUUUUUUAACCUUAUCCCUGGCAUAUGGUAUGGUAGCGUUAGUGCUUUAUUCCGCAAUAAAGACAAUAUAGUUAGACACCUGUUUCCUGAUACAGAAUGACAAAUAGUGAUCAAAUCUUCAGUCCCACAUGGUUAUAAAUGAUCCACAUACACUCUAAGAUGCAUUAAAUAUGAACUUUUGUAAACUGGAGUCGUGGAGUCAUCACCGCAAGCAACGCAAGAAGAAUGCUGAUGUUAAUAAUUAGGUGCAGUGCUGUUACCUGUGGUCCUGUUCUCUGGCAGCCAGCAGCUCAUGCAGCUGCUGUAAUUUGUCUUUAUGUUGCCGUAACGAUGCUCGGAGGA